GAUGAACGCUGGCGGCGUGCCUAAUACAUGCAAGUCGAGCGGACAGACGAGGCUCUUGCUCCUCUGACGUUAGCGGCGGAGGGGUGAGUAACACGUGUAUAACCCACCUAUAAGAGUGGUAUAACUACGGGAAAGCGGAUAUAAUACCAUAUAAUAUAUUGAAGCGCAUGGGUGGAUGGUAAGAGACGGUUUUUGUGGCACUAAUAGAGGGAUCCGGGCCGCAUUGGCUAGUUGGUAAGGUCACGGCUUACCAAGGCAACGAUGCGUAGCCGACGUGCGAGGGUGAUCGCCCACACUGGAAGUGAGACACGGUCCAGACGCCUGAGGUACGCAGCAGUAGGGAACCUGCCGCAAUGGGCGAGAGCCUGGCGGAGCAGCGCCGCGUGAGUGAUGAAGGUCUUCGGAUCGUAAAACUCUGUUAUUAGGGAAGAACAACUGUGUAAGUAACUAUGCCCGUCUUGACGGUAACUAAUCAGAAAGCCACGGCUAACUACGUG
rnacentral:rRNA from 1 species